rnacentral:rRNA from 1 species
CCUACGGGCUGCACCAGUGGGGAAUAUUGCACAAUGGGCGCAAGCCUGAUGCAGCCAUGCCGCGUGUAUGAAGAAGGCCUUCGGGUUGUAAAGUACUUUCAGCGGGGAGGAAGGCGAUAAGGUUAAUACCUUGUCGAUUGACGUUACCCGCAGAAGAAGCACCGGCUAACUCCGAGCCAGCAGCCGCGGUAAUACGGAGGGUGCAAGCGUUAAUCGGAAUUACUGGGCGUAAAGCGCACGCAGGCGGUCUGUCAAGUCGGAUGUGAAAUCCCCGGGCUCAACCUGGGAACUGCAUUCGAAACUGGCAGGCUAGAGUCUUGUAGAGGGGGGUAGAAUUCCAGGUGUAGCGGUGAUAUGCGUAGAGAUCUGGAGGAAUACCGGUGGCGAAGGCGGCCCCCUGGACAAAGACUGACGCUCAGGUGCGAAAGCGUGGGGAGCAAACAGGAUUAGAUACCCGUGUAGUC